CUUCCCCUGCUGUGUGCGUGGUGAAGCUGGCCAUUGUUAUGAGCCAACACCCCAACACGAGGGAGCCCGGACUCUGCUUCCCGAUGCACAUGCCCCCCGCUUGAGGGGGACGUCGCUGACGGACAGGAGGGCACCCACCUGCGAGAGAGCAGGUUCAUUAACGGGCCAGCACCAGCGGCAUGGCGGGGUUUUC
rnacentral:other from 1 species